rnacentral:rRNA from 1 species
GACAGAGGGGGCAAGCGUUGCUCGGAAUCACUGGGCGUAAAGGGCGCGUAGGCGGGAUGGCAAGUCGGUCGUGAAAUCCUUCGGCUCAACCGAAGAACGUCGGCCGAUACUGCCGUUCUUGAGGGAUGCAGAGGAGAUUGGAAUUCCCGGUGUAGCGGUGAAAUGUGUAGAGAUCGGGAGGAACACCGGUGGCGAAGGCGGGUCUCUGGGCAUCUCCUGACGCUGAGGCGCGAAAGCGGUGGGGAGCAAACGGGG